CAGUAGCCGCGGGAAUACGAAGGGUGCAAGCGUUAAUCGGAAUUACUGGGCGUAAAGCGCGCGUAGGUGGUUUGGUAAGAUGGAUGUGAAAUCCCCGGGCUCAACCUGGGAACUGCAUCCAUAACUGCCUGACUAGAGUACGGUAGAGGGUGGUGGAAUUUCCUGUGUAGCGGUGAAAUGCGUAGAUAUAGGAAGGAACACCAGUGGCGAAGGCGACCACCUGGACUGAUACUGACACUGAGGUGCGAAAGCGUGGGGAGCAAACAGGAUUAGAUACCCGCGUAGUCCCUGUCUCUUAUAC
rnacentral:rRNA from 1 species